UACGAAGGGGGCUAGCGUUGCUCGGAAUCACUGGGCGUAAAGCGCACGUAGGCGGCUUGUUAAGUCAGGGGUGAAAUCCUGGAGCUCAACUCCAGAACUGCCUUUGAUACUGGCAAGCUUGGAGUCCGGGAGAGGUGAGUGGAACUGCGAGUGUAGAGGUGAAAUUCGUAGAUAUUCGCAAGAACACCAGUGGCGAAGGCGGCUCACUGGCCCGGUACUGACGCUGAGGCGCGAAAGCGUGGGUAGCAAACGGG
rnacentral:rRNA from 1 species